rnacentral:tRNA from 1 species
AGUUCUAUACUUUAAUGUCAAAAGAUCUGAUUUGCAAUCAAUUAUUGAGUCACAACUCUAGAACUA